rnacentral:rRNA from 1 species
AUACGGAGGGUGCAAGCGUUGUCCGGAUUUAUUGGGUUUAAAGGGUGUGUAGGCGGUGUAUUAAGUCAGUGGUGAAAGCCUGCGGCUCAACCGUAGAACUGCCAUUGAUACUGACACACUUGAGUAUGGACGAGGUAGGCGGAAUUUAUGGUGUAGCGGUGAAAUGCAUAGAUACCAUAAAGAACACCGAUAGCGAAGGCAGCUUACUAGGCCAUAGCUGACGCUGAGGCACGAAAGCGUGGGGAGCGAACAGGAUUAGAUACCCUAGUAGUCC